CCUACGGGGGGCAGCAGUGAGGAAUAUUGGUCAAUGGGCGCUAGCCUGAACCAGCCAAGUAGCGUGAAGGAUGACUGCCCUAUGGGUUGUAAACUUCUUUUAUAUGGGAAUAAAGUGCAGUAUGUAUACUGCUUUGCAUGUACCUUAUGAAUAAGGAUCGGCUAACUCCGUGCCAGCAGCCGCGGUAAUACGGAGGCUCCGAGCGUUAUCCGGAUUUAUUGGGUUUAAAGGGAGCGUAGGUGGGUUGUUAAGUCAGUUGUGAAAGUUUGCGGCUCAACCGUAAAAUUGCAGUUGAUACUGGCAGCCUUGAGUACAGUAGAGGUAGGCGGAAUUCGUGGUGUAGCGGUGAAAUGCUUAGAUAUCACGAAGAACUCCGAUUGCGAAGGCAGCCUGCUGGACUGUAACUGACGCUGAUGCUCGAAAGUGUGGGUAUCAAACAGGAUUAGAUACCCUGGUAGUC
rnacentral:rRNA from 1 species